rnacentral:pre_miRNA from 1 species
AUAGUACUCUCUCUGUUCCUAAAUACUUGUCGCUGUUUUAGUACAAAACUUGAACUAAAACAGCGAAAUACUUGUCGCUGUUUUAGUACAAAACUUGAACUAAAACAGCGACAAGUAUUUAGGAACGGAGGGAGUACUAA